UACGAAGGGGGCUAGCGUUGCUCGGAAUCACUGGGCGUAAAGGGUGCGUAGGCGGAUCUUUAAGUCAGGGGUGAAAUCCUGGAGCUCAACUCCAGAACUGCCUUUGAUACUGAAGGUCUUGAGUUCGGGAGAGGUGAGUGGAACUGCGAGUGUAGAGGUGAAAUUCGUAGAUAUUCGGAGGAACACCAGUGGCGAAGGCGGCUCACUGGCUCGAUACUGACGCUGAGGUGCGAAAGCGUGGGGAGCAAACAGG
rnacentral:rRNA from 1 species